rnacentral:rRNA from 1 species
UGGGGAAUUUUGGACGAAUUGGGCGAAAGCUUGAUCCAGCAAUGCCGCGUGUGUGAAGAAGGCCUUCGGGUUGUAAAGCACUUUCAGCGAGGAGGAAGGUGGUGAGCUUAAUACGCUCAUCAAUUGACGUUACUCGCAGAAGAAGCACCGGCUAACUCCGUGCCAGCAGCCGCGGUAAUACGGAGGGUGCAAGCGUUAAUCGGAAUUACUGGGCGUAAAGCGCACGCAGGCGGUUUGUUAAGUCAGAUGUGAAAUCCCCGGGCUCAACCUGGGAACUGCAUUUGAAACUGGCAAGCUAGAGUCUCGUAGAGGGGGGCUAGAAUUCCAGGUGUAGCGGUGAAAUGCGUAGAGAUCUGGAGGAAUACCGGUGGCGAAGGCGGCCCCCUGGANGAAGACUGACGCUCAGGUGCG